rnacentral:tRNA from 1 species
UCCCAAGUGGCUCAAUGGGUAAAGAAUCUGCCUGCAGUGCAGGAGACACAGGUUCACUUCCUGGGUUGGGAA